rnacentral:rRNA from 1 species
UAACUGUGCAAAGGUAGCAUAUUCUGUAGUUUUUUAAUUGAAGGCUUGUAUGAAGGGUUGGACAAAGAAUAAUCUGUUUCUGUUUUUAUUUUUGAAUUUUACUUUUAAGUGAAAAGGCUUAAGUGUGUUUAAGGGACGAUAAGACCCUAUAAAUCUUUAUAUUAAAUUAUUUUUUAACAAUUAAUAUAGUAAAUAAAAUAAUAAAAUAAAAAAUAUUUUGUUGGGGUGAUGAAAAUAUAAAAUUAACUGUUUUAAAAUUAAAACAAAGUUGUUUGAAAAAAAUAAUUGAUCCUUUGUUAAGAUUAAAAUUUUAAGUUACUUUAGGGAUAACAGCGUUAUUUUUUUUGAGAGUUCUUAUCGAAAAAAAAGUUUGCGACCUCCAUGUUGAAUUAAAAUUUCUUUAUGGUGCAGAAGUCAUAAGAGAAAGUCUGUUCGACUUUUAAAAUUUUACG